AGUAACGCGUGGGCAACCUGCCUCAUACAGGGGGAUAGCAUCGGGAAACUGGUGGUAAAACCGCAUAAGCGCACGAAGACGCAUGUAUUCGUGUGAAAAGGAGAAAUCUGGUAUGAGAUGGACCCGCGUCUGAUUAGCUAGUUGGAGUGGUAAAAGCACACCAAGGCGACGAUCAGUAGCCGGCCUGAGAGGGUGGACGGCCACAUUGGGACUGAGACACGGCCCAGACUCCUACGGAAGGCAGCAG
rnacentral:rRNA from 1 species